rnacentral:misc_RNA from 1 species
AAGUCGUAACAAGGUUUCCGUAGGUGAACCUGCGGAAGGAUCAUUAGUGAAUAUAGGACGUCCAACUUAACUUGGAGUCCGAACUCUCACUUUCUAACCCUGUGCACUUGUUGGGAUAUGGUAACUCAUCGCAAGAGAAGCGAACAUCCUAUUCCAUCUUAUUAAACAACAAAGUACUAUGAAUGUAUUAAAUUUUUAUAACAAAAUAAAA